GGCUGCAGGAUACGACGCCGUCGAAGGCUUCUCCGCACCACUGGAGGAUCUGCCGCAGGCGCGUGCGGGUGCUGCCCGCCUGCCUGGCUCUCCCGAUCAGGGCUGAGUAAGUGGCGAAGAGGACGCCCUCUGAGUUCUCUACGAUGAUACCGGCCACCGUGCGGCCCUUGCCGACGCCGGCCCCAUCGCCGAUGAGGAAACCCGCGCGCUGACCACUGGGCAGCAAGAUCUCGUGUUGCUGCGGCCAGAGGGGUCAGUCAGGCCUGGCCUGUCACUUCCCCAGCAACCCCCAGCCUUGUGGGGACUGAGCACGGGUGGAGUCGGGGCAGGUCACCUGGCAGGCAUAGGUGAUGGCCUCCAGCUGCAGGGCAGACAGGGCCACGCUGUCCGAGGUGGGCAAUGCGAGGGUGUAGGUAAUGUCCGGUGGGGGGACACUGGACAGAGUGCUGGUCUCCACCACUCGGUCCGGAUGCUGCUUCCCGAUCUUGGCUGGAGGGGCAGAGGGUGAGGUCAGGAGGUGGGCGUGGCCAGGGUGGGCAUGGCAGGAAGGUCUCCAUGAAGGGACAGAGUGGCCAAGAACCCCACCCCAGGGACCUGGGGACCCCAUGCCCUCAAUGGCUCUUGGUGGGGAAGUCUCCUGGAGGGGUCUCAUCUGCAUGAGAAGGAGGAAGUCUGAGCGUCCUCGCCAGCCUGGGCCACUCACACUUGGAGGGCACAUAGUCAGCGUAGGUCUCCGUGUGGCCCAGCUCCUCCGCUUCUUCUUCCUCCUCGUCCUCCACCUCAUCCUCAGGCUGACUUUGGGACUGCAAGGGGGCCGAAAUCCAGGCAUCAGUUCUGCCCUGUGUUCACCUGGCACCCCUCCCAGGUGGUGGCCCGGCAACCCCUGGGGCCUCCUUGGGACUUUGGCUUCCUCAUUUGUACAGUGGGGUGCUCCCUGCUUCCGGGUACCCACACUCUGGCAUGCUGGAGGUGCGCAGCUUCCAAGACCUCACCUAGGCUCCAGGACACACAGAUUGGGGAGGGGACCAAGCCAGGGGACCAGGCUGACCUGGUAGCUGACGAGAAGGGAGGUGCUGGGCAAGGAGGUCACAGGGUCCUCAAGGCCUGGGAAUGGUCCACCCGGCAGGAACAGCUGAGAGGAGGGCGGGACAUCAGCCAAGGCGGGAAGGUGCUCCGUAAUUCUGACAGACAGCAACACCCUCCCGGGGGCCUGCCAGAGGGGCUACAGGAGGCUGUGCAGGACCUGCCAGCUGAGACCCGCCCUGUGCUGGGCCUUCGGGGACAUGGGUAACCUGGGGGGGGUGAAAGCCAGAGGGACCAUCUAGUCUUGUGGGCCUGGCCUGAGAGCUGGGCCACUGGCCCCUGUGACCAGACCCUGUGGUGAC
rnacentral:lncRNA from 1 species